UAGGGAAUCUUCCACAAUGGACGAAAGUCUGAUGGAGCAACGCCGCGUGAGUGAUGAAGGGUUUCGGCUCGUAAACUCUGUUGUUGGAGAAGAACGGGUGUCAGAGUAACUGUUGACAUCGUGACGGUAUCCAACCAGAAAGCCACGGCUAACUACGUGCCAGCAGCCGCGGUAAUACGUAGGUGGCAAGCGUUGUCCGGAUUUAUUGGGCGUAAAGCGAGCGCAGGCGGUUUUUUAGGUCUGAUGUGAAAGCCUUCGGCUUAACCGGAGAAGUGCAUCGGAAACCGGGAGACUUGAGUGCAGAAGAGGACAGUGGAACUCCAUGUGUAGCGGUGAAAUGCGUAGAUAUAUGGAAGAACACCAGUGGCGAAGGCGGCUGUCUGGUCUGCAACUGACGCUGAGGCUCGAAAGCAUGGGUAGCGAACAGGAUUAGAUACCCUGGUAG
rnacentral:rRNA from 1 species